rnacentral:rRNA from 1 species
GUAUAGAGGGUGAAUUCUGCCCAAUGGUUGUAUAGUGAAACUAAGGAUUAACGUCUAAAGUGAAACCCAACUGAAUGGCCGCGGUAACUCUGACCGUGAUAAUGUAGCACAAUAAAUAGCCAAUUAAUUGUUGGCGGGUAUGAAUGGAACCACGAGGGUCUUACUGUCUCAAGAGAAAAGCCGAUGAAAUUAUAGUUGUAGUGAAGAUACUACAUAAACAUUGUAAGACGAAAAGACCCUAUCGAGCUUUACUGGAUGCCGAUAGCGUUAACUUAAAAUGACCGAUACAAAGUAUCCUAAUUUUGAGUUAAUAAUUUUUGUUGGCAGGACAGUUUAGUUGGGGCGACUACCUUUGAAUAAGAAACGAAGGCGAGCUUAUGGUAUAUGAAAUUAAUCUCAUUAGCCUCACAGUGAGGGGGACACCCCUAGCUGGCACAAGGACGAUGUCCUAUGUGGGCGAUAAUGACCCGAUAUUAUUGUCCAAAAUAAAUAUCGAAAGCGGAUAAAAGCUACCGUAGGGAUAACAGCGUAAUAUUGUCGGAGAGUUCUUAUCGAGGACAGUGUUUGCGACCUCGAUGUUGAAUUGCGGUGCCCUGGUGCUGUAGAAGGUACCUUAGGUUGGUC